AGAGUUUGAUCCUGGCUCAGAGCGAACGCUGGCGGCAUGCUUAACACAUGCAAGUCGCACGGGCGGGGGCAACUCCGUCAGUGGCGGACGGGUGAGUAACGCGUAGGUAUCUAUCCUUGGGUGGGGGACAACCGUGGGAAACUACGGCUAAUACCGCAUGAUGACCGAGGUCUAAAGGCGCAAGUCGCCUGGGGAGGAGC
rnacentral:rRNA from 1 species